CUGCUUCUUGUGUCCAGUGCAUGAAAGGGCAAGCUUCAAACUGAGAUCAAAUGCCUCUGUCGAGUACUCUCCGUUCAGCCUAGGAUCAGCAAACUCCAACACGUUGCCUUCUCUGAUGAGCAUGGAAGCCUGAGGAACGAAGGAGUUGUAGGAGCACCAUACCAAAGCUGUAGACAUCCCCUGCAGCAUUUACCUUGUGAUUGUGGCGAUACUCUGGAUCGACGUAUCCAAAUGUUCCUCUAACUUCGGAGCUUACGUGUGAUACUCCUAUGUCAAUGACUCUUGACAGUCCAAAAUCCGACAAUUUGGGUUCCAUAUCAACCCCAAGAAGUAUAUUGGUUGGCUGUAACGGCACAAAUGAGUUUGACAUUGCUUAAAUUUGCAGAUGUACUAGAGUUUUCCAAAUCAUGCAACCAACCUUGACAUCACGGUGAACAAUGCAGCCUUCAGGAUAUAUGUGAAGGAACCAAAGGCCACAGGCGCUGCCAAGUGCAAUCUGCAGCCUCUGAAUCCAUGACAGGUUACCGUUGAUACAUAACUCAUAUACAAGAAAACAUUCCUCCUGCCCAUCGCAAUAACCUCUUAGUGACACAAGGUUUGGAUGUCUCACAUGUGAGAGGCUUGUAACUUCCCUUAGGAAAGUUUCUGCAUGCUCGUUCUUAACGAUGUGCUUUACAGCAACAGGCCAGCCAUUUGCAAGCACUCCUUUGUACACUUUCCCUGAAAAAUCACAUAAUAAAGAAGAUACAUCCAACUUUCAGGGCAAGAAAUAACCCGUUAAACAUGGCUAUUAUCUUACAUAUCUCAUUUUCUCACAUCACAAUUAUGUAUUGCAUCUGCAUGAUGGAAUAAGGAUUUCAAGUCCAACUGACUAAUAUUGUCAUUUACCUGCAAUUCCCUGACCAAUGACAUUCAGUGGACUCAGGUUUUCAGUUGCGUCGUAAAUCUCUUUGGUACACAUCUGUUUGCAGGUAACCUCCUCAUACUCAACAGAUACAGCAGUGACCUCUGCAAGAAGGAUGCAUGAACUAUAUUGCGAUAUUACUGAGUAAAAGAAACCAGUAUGUGCAAAGGGGUUGCAUGAUUAGUGAAAUUACCAAUAUCUUUCUUGGAUCGUUUCAGGUUGUGUGCUCUUCUUCUAAGAUGGCACGAAAUUGAAACUACCCCAACAAUCACCACCGUGAUGAGGCAUCCGAGCAGUAUUUCAUAUCCUGCAUACAAUUCUCAGGAGCAGAAAAAAGAAAAGAUAAUACAGGAAAGGGCAGAGAUAAAUCUCGAGCACAGGAUAGCAUGGAUGGAACCUCCAGGAAACAGCUAGCUGACAGUCGCCUGAUGAUCAUAUCAACUAGCAAGAUGCAAAUUCAGAUUGCGUUACAAGCCUCGGUUGAAAUGAGCGGCAAGUGUUCACUGCGCAGCCUGGGAUGCAGACUCGACAAAGACAAUACGCCCCAAAGGUUUUCUCCCUUCGCCUUUUGUGAUGCAACAGCACAUCUGCCAAUUAUGGGUAUGAACAAUCUCACCUUCAACGGGAGAUGGAUAGCAGCAUCAUGCUUAGGGACUAAGCAUGUACGUACGGACUACUAAAACAGCGUAAGUAAAGGUGAGGAUAUACAUAUGUCUAAUUUCAGAUCGAUGAUUAUUGGCAAAACCUGUUCUGCAAUUGGGCUUGUUAAUUUAUUUUAAUUUAACAAAACGAUCGAUUCUUGUGCAUGCUAAAAGUAGUAGUAGUAUUAUUUGCACAGCUUCGUAUAGUCACUUCGUUUGUAAAGCCCAAGAAAACAAAGCUGCCCUUUUCUUUUCCUUUUCAAAACUCUUGCCCACAGUUGGUCACUACUUGCCAACUACUUUGGGGGCAGAAAAAGGAAAACCUGAAACAAGAGAAUAGUACAGCAUACUAGCCUUGAUUUUUUUUUUCGCUAUUACCUUCAGCUGUUCAGCUGGUAUCUACUCCUACGUACCGAGUUAGAUUCAUCAAUAGCCUCCUUCUAUUGGGCUAUUGGCUACAGAUUUUGUGAAGUUAUUAUCGGCUUGUGCCAUAUACAAAUUUUGACCAAAUAUUUGUUGUUCCUCAAAGCACGGUUACCUUGUACACAGGAACCUACACCGAAGUUCGUCGUUCCGAUUAUAAUUUUUUUCUAAGAACCAAUUAAAAUUUUUGAACAUAGUAACGGGAUCAGGGCAUGGAGCAGUUCAUGCUUGAGAUAUCCUGCUUUUGAUACCAAUGUGAUGAUAAGCCAGAAAUGUUUAAUUUAUACUGGGUAAACAAUGAGAAAUGCUAGCUGAUGAAAGGUAUCCACUAAUCCACACCUUUAAUUGACUGCUCUUAUUGAAAGUGGAGCAAGCUAACCUUGCAUGGCUCAUAUGUGGGGCAGCAUAUAUAGUGCACCAAAGUACCAAACAUAAUGUCAGUGUAUAUACAUACAUGAUUAAUUCCUUCGAUGUAAGCCAAAUGAGAGGGGUGACUUAGUUAUGUGCAUAUAAUUAAUACGAUCUACAUAAUUGUGAAAAAAAUAUAAUUUAUUUUGACAAUACAGAUUAUUCUUUAAUUUAUCACUGCAAAAAUGAAUGGCUAAACUCAAUCGACACAUGCAAGGGAAAGAUAAAUCAAAUCCAGCUUUUUAGAAUUCUCCAAUAUACGCAACCAAAAAUUAACUUGGUUAGAUGAAUUUGGCCUUACAUGCAUGUUUGUAGAGUUACACCAUUACAUACUUUUCUGCAGGCAUGCACCUCUAACAUUUUCUAACCAUUUGGAUGUAUGCAUAAAAUUAAGGAGGACACAUACAUGCCACUAAGUUGUAAAAUGAUUUUCCCUUCCUAAAUCGUAAUAUAUUUUAAUUAACUACUUUAUAACAGGAAAACAAUUUUCUAAAAGAGGUCUUACCCGUUAUACACAAUUAACAGAGUGUUUUUACCGUGAUAAAGAAGAUAUCAUAUUUUAAGAAGAAGAAGAAGAAGAAGAAGAAGAAGAAGUGUAUAGUUUUUAAACUUAUCUAAUAACAAGGUACUAAGAGGUGGCACCACAGAUUAAUACUACAAAUUAUAAUAGCUCCUUAAAGACCAUAAAAUCACUCCACAUAUAUAAUACAAGCUCACCACGAACAAAUCGUUGUCUUCAAGAAUUAUGCAUACAUAUUCUAAUGAUGAAUAAAUGUGUAGUGAGGCAAAUGAACAACAUGAAUUUCCAAGUAAAAGAGUGUCAAUUUUUUUAAACGAACCGGCGCGAGACUAUACCAAUUUCAUUGAAUAUAAUAUAGAAGAGUUUUAUAUCCCCUAUGCUAGGGUGAAACUAGAAAAAAAAACUAUACAUAUGUAAGAAGGUUAAUUAACUUAGAAAGGUGCUUUGCCCCAGCAAGAGCCAAAGCUUUCCUUCCUCUUUGAUCAUAUAGCUAGGAGACCUAUUUUCGUCGAGAGCUCUUUGUGUUGAAAUGAUUUUUUUUUUGUUUCGUUCGUUUCAAACUUCCCAGGAAACUAGCAGGGUUAGAGUGUAGACUCCUUUUCUCGAUGUAUGUUGGCCAUAAAUUCCGGCUACUAAGCCGCCAGCGCUAAACAGCUCUGAUGCAUGCAUCCAUGUUGCUAUUAAUGUCCAAAUUUUUAUACAGUAAAAAAUAUCAAAUUGGUUGAGCUACUAUUUAUAAACGAAAGCAGUAGUAAAAAAUGUUCUUUUUAACGUCAAACUUUUAUACUUCUACUUUUAGCCGCUUCUUUGUUCCUCGAUCUGUCCUUAAAAAAAAAGAGUCGACAUAGGAUCGAGGCCUCCUAGUACAACGAAUCUAAAUAUAGGAGAUGUCACAUCCUCUCGUAGGCUGCCCUUUUUUAAGUCAUAGGGAGUAAAAUCACUAACAAAGAAGCGGCGAAUAAACCCUCUACCUUAAUAAUAUUAAAAUACUUAAAUUUAGCCGUGGCUUAUAAUAGCUGAAGGCCUACCGCGCGCCCUACCGAUAGCAGAACACUUAAUUAAGUUCAUGCAUCUUAUCUAGAUGCACGGUGCACCGUACCACCCCAAGAUAUUUCACGAUAUUUUCACGCAUAUGACCACACCCGGUGUGGACACAUCUCACAUGAUGAGGAUGAGUCGUCGUCGUUUGCAAUUGCAAUAUGACCAGCUAUGCAUGUUAGUGUGACCACCAAAGGUAGUACGUCUCGUGGGGGACUCGCAUUGACAGUGCUGUGUUGAGAGAUACACAACACUAUAGCUAUCUACAUAGCCUGCAGGACCAAACCCCCCAAACCCCGGUCGAUCGUCAAAAAAACGCGAAAAAGCCACCCAAAACCGCGAGCGCUUUGCUGCUGCUGCUGCUGCCGCAAACCCUUUUUCCCCACACGAACACGGUCGAUCGUUUCGAUCACCAAAACCAUCGUGGUCGUGCGCUCCAGAUGAUGGAACAUCUACACGCUACCCCACGUCGGCUUUAGCAUCUUAUCCCAUCGGUAGAUCCGGGCCGUUCGAUCUCGGCUUUUAUCCCGAUCGCGCGAUCGGCGCCGUCCGAUGCCGAUCUCCCCGAUCGGGCGCCUUUAGCUCUUGUAUCUGGACCGGAAGAACCCUAGCUGUCUGGCUAAGGUAGCUCGCAACUACCGGCCUAAAGCAUAGCUCUACUGUGUGUGUGUGUGUGUGUGUUCACUACUGGAUAGUACACAAUGCAAGAGCUAAGCUGCAGCUGCAAGCAGCCAUGCAAGAGGGAGCCUGGAGCACAGCUGAGCUAGCUUCCUCUAUAAAUUGAGGUGAGGCCUCUCCUCACCUUCCUAAACACCAAGAGCUAGAGACAGCAACUCACCAACCACUAGCUAUAAGCUUAUUGCCCUAGAUUAACAUAGCUAAUUUCAACUAAUCUCAAUCAGUGACAACUUUUAUUAAGUAGCUUAAUUAGUUAGUUAGUUAGAAGAAAAGGGAAGGGGAGAAAGCUAGUAUAUGGGAGGGAGGUCGUUCCUGUGCAUCUUCAGCUUCUCGAGGAGGUCGAGGCGGUACUACGCCGACGACGAGGCGGCGGCGGUGAGCGACUGGGAGCGGCCGGCGGCGACGAGGCUGCGGAAGGUCCGGUCGAGCGACGAGGACAACGGGUGGUGGAUCGGCGAGCGCGACGUCGACCAGAAGGCCUCCGACUUCAUCGCCAGGUUCCACCACCACCAGACCAGCCUCGUCGUCUGAACUACUCCAUCGAUAUAGCUAGCUAACUCGCGAUACAGGACCGCAGCUAGCUAGCUAGAUGUAGUAUUAUUAUAUAUAUUAUUACAUGUAUAGUAUAUAUGUUGUAAUGUGUGUGUGCAAUAUAUAUAUAUAUAUAUAUAUAUAUAUAUAUAUAUAUGCAGCUGGCUAGCUAGCUAGGGCAUGCAUGACAUGAGAUGAGGGCCGGAACUGCUAUGUAUGAAUGUACAAAUAUAGUUUUAAUUGUUUAAUUAGCACUGCUGAUGAUAUAUAAUAAUAAUAAUAAUAAUGAAUAAA